rnacentral:rRNA from 1 species
UCGUCGGCGGCGAGAAACUCCCGGGCAAGGUGACCUUCGUCUCGGCGCAGGAGCAUACAGGCCCGGUGAGCGUCGGCCCGUCGGCGGACCGAGGAAGACCGUCGCGGAGCGGCGUCGACCGCUCGUCGUGUGUUGGCGUUCGACUCGGGGGGACUGGUUCCAGUGCCCUCGGACCGCGCCGGCGCAGCGGCGGGACGGCACGGCGUCGCGCCUGGGGUCGGUGGCGAAACGGCCGGCAACCUGUCCGACCCGUCUUGAAACACGGACCAAGGAGUCUAACAUGUGCGCGAGUCGUUGGGCGCUACGAAACCCGAAGGCGCAAUGAAAGUGAAGGCCCGGUCUCCGGCCGGCCUGGGUGGGAUCCCGGCGGUCUCGGCCGUCGGGCGCACCACCGGCCCGUCUCGUUCGUUACGUCGAGGAGGCGGAGCAAGAGCGUACACGUUGGGACCCGAAAGAUGGUGAACUAUGCCCGAGUAGGACGAAGCCAGAGGAAACUCUGGUGGAGGUCCGCAGCGAUUCUGACGUGCAAAUCGAUCGUCAAACUUGGGUAUAGGGGCGAAAGACUAAUCGAACCAUCUAGUAGCUGGUUCCUGUCGAAGUUUCCCUCAGGAUAGCUGGCGCUCGUCGUGAGCAGUUUUAUCCGGUAAAGCGAAUGACUGGAGGCCUUGGG